AGUGAACGCUGGCGGUAGGCCUAACACAUGCAAGUCGAACGGCAGCACAGUAAUAGCUUGCUCUUCCGGGUGGCGAGUCGCGGACGGGUGAGGAAUACAUCGUAAUCUACUUUUUCGUGGGGGUUCACGAAGCGAAACUUAAUACAAUACCGCAUACCACCUACCGGUGAAAGCAGUGGAACUUUGCACCUUGCGCGAUUGAACUCGCCGAUGCCGGAUUAGCUGGUUGGGUGGGUAAUGGCCCACCAAGGCGAGGAUCCGUAGCUUGUGUGAGAGGAUGGUAGGCGGCACUAGAACUGGGACACGGUCCAGACUCCUGCGAGAGGCAGCAGUGGGGAAUAUUGGACAAUGGGCGCAAGCCUGAUCCAGCCAUACCGCGUGGGUGAAGAAGGCCUUCGGGUUGUAAAGCCCUUUUGUUGGGAAAGAAAAGCAGCAGGUUAAUACCCCGCUGUUCUGACGGUACCCAAAGAAUAAGCACCGGCUAACUUCGUG
rnacentral:rRNA from 1 species